rnacentral:rRNA from 1 species
AGAGCGAACGCUGGCGGCAGGCUUAACACAUGCAAGUCGAGCGGGCGUAGCAAUACGUCAGCGGCAGACGGGUGAGUAACGCGUGGGAACGUACCUUUUGGUUCGGAACAACCCAGGGAAACUUGGGCUAAUACCGGAUAAGCCCUUACGGGGAAAGAUUUAUCGCCGAAAGAUCGGCCCGCGUCUGAUUAGCUAGUUGGUGAGGUAAUGGCUCACCAAGGCGACGAUCAGUAGCUGGUCUGAGAGGAUGAUCAGCCACAUUGGGACUGAGACACGGCCCAAACUCCUACGGGAGGCAGCAGUGGGGAAUAUUGGACAAUGGGCGCAAGCCUGAUCCAGCCAUGCCGCGUGAGUGAAGAAGGUCUUCGGAUUGUAAAGCCCUUUCGACGGGGACGAUGAUGACGGUACCCGUAGAAGAAGCCCCGGCUAACUUCGUGCCAGCAGCCGC